GACGAACGCUGGCGGCGUGCCUAAUACAUGCAAGUUGAGCGCUGAAGGUUGGUACUUGUACCAACUGGAUGAGCAGCGAACGGGUGAGUAACGCGUGGGGAAUCUGCCUUUGAGCGGGGGACAACAUUUGGAAACGAAUGCUAAUACCGCAUAAAAACUUUAAACACAAGUUUUAAGUUUGAAAUAUGCAAUUGCAUCACUCAAAGAUGAUCCCGCGUUGUAUUAGCUAGUUGGUGAGGUAAAGGCUCACCAAGGCGAUGAUACAUAGCCGACCUGAGAGGGUGAUCGGCCACAUUGGGACUGAGACACGGCCCAAACGCCUACGGGAGGCAGCAGUAGGGAAUCUUCGGCGAUGGACGAAAGUCUGACCGAGCAACGCCGCGUGAGUGAAGAAGGUUUUCGGAUCGUAAAACUCUGUUGGUAGAGAAGAACGUUGGUGAGAGUGGAAAGCUCAUCAAGUGACGGUAACUACCCAGAAAGGGACGGCUAACUACGUG
rnacentral:rRNA from 1 species